rnacentral:tRNA from 1 species
GAGGAUGUUACCUAGUGGUUAAGGUGCCCGAUUGUUAAUCGGAGGCCCCGUUGGCGCGGGCGCGGGUUCGAAUCCCGUCAUCCUCGCCA